AUGUAUUUUCAAAAAGAAAAUAAGUUAUUUAUAGUAAAUAAAAGAAAUAAUAGGAUUAUACAAGUUAUAUAUAUGACAGGUGGUAAAGAAUCGGAUGUUAACAGCAAACAAAUAACCGAAAGGGAAAAAAUAACCGAAAGGGAAAAAAUAACCGAANNNNNNNNNNAAAUAACCGAAAGGGAAAAAAUAACCGAAAGGGAAAAAAUAACCGAAAAGGAAAAAAUAACCGAAAGGGAAAAAAUAACUGAAUGGGAAAAAAUAACCGAAAGGGAAAAAAUAACCGAACGGGGUAAGAUAUUAUUCGAUUUUGAACAAGAAGAAGAUCAUAAUGAUAUAGUUUCCUCGUUAGCUACUAUUUACAGUCCCAUAAAUAAAAAAAAUUUAUUAUCAAGUCAGAUUUAUGAAAUAAAAAUAAAAAAUAUGGAAACUAAAAAAAAAGAUUUAACUAUAAGUGGUAAUAAAAGAUUUUUAAGUAGCGAUUAUACAAAUGUCAAAUCAAACGAGAAUAUAAAAAUGAUUUAUGGGGAAGUUAUAUAUGACGAUUCUGGAAAAGUGUUCAAUAACAAAAGUCCAUUUUUAAAUAAAUAUAUUAAAAUUAUAAUAAAUAACAAUGUUUUUAAAUAUUUUGAUAAAUUAGAUCAUUAUAAUUUAUAUAUAAGUGUUAAUGAGAACAACAUGUUUAGAGAUAUAACUAUUAGACAUAAAGCUAGAUACGUAAAAGAUAAUAUUUAUGAAAAUUCUAAGUGUACAUCAUCAUCUGAUAAAAAAAAAAAAACAAAUAUAAAUAUUUUUUGUUAUAACAUGGAAUCAAAGUAUAUUCGAUCUAAUUUUAGAAACGUAGUAUUUAAUCAUAUAAAUAGUAACCGUACUAGUAAUAUAAAUAGUAACCAUACUAGUAAUAUAAAUAGUAACCGUACUGGUAAUAUAAAUAGUAACCGUACUAGUAAUAUAAAUAAUAACCGUACUGGUAAUAUAAAUAAAUGUAAUACAGAAAACAAUAAAAAAUUAGAAGAAACUUCUGAAAAUUAUUUAGAAAACAUUUUAGACAAUUUGGAUGAUAAUUAUAUGUACAAUCUAAUUAUUCCUAAUAUGAUACCAACAGAAAUAAUUGAUUUUACAAAAUCCAAAUAUUAUACUUUAGAAUCAUUAUUAAAAAAAAAUCAAGUUAUAUAUCCAACAGUACACGUUGGAUUAUUCAAAGGAAAAAAAGUGUAUCUAAAAGAAAAUGUAUAUGAUUUAAUGACAAGGGAAUACUUUGAAAAUGAAAGUUAUUACAUUAGUGAUUCUGAGAAACCAUUAAAAUAUAAUUAUGACGAAAAUAGUAAAACAAAAAUACCACUAUAUGCGAAAUUUCAGGUAAAAAAAAGACCUACAAUUAGUAACAGUACGAAAAAAUGUAUACAUAAUAACGAUUAUACAAAUAUAGGGCCUAUACAUAAUAAAGUUAACUAUACUGGUAAUAAUAAUAAUAAUAAUAAUAAUAAUAAUAAUAAUAAUAAUAAUAACGAUGGUGAUGAUUAUGAUCAGGAACCCGUUUCUUACAUUAUAAGUUAUACACCUGAAGGAAUAGUGGAAGAAAAUAAAAUAUAUAAUAUAAAAAACAAUUUGGAUGAACAAAAAGAAAAUAACGAUAUAAAUUUAAUUAAUUUAUCAAAAAGUAAUAGUAAUGACGAGUUAAAUAAAACUAAAGAACACGAAUCGGAUGUAUUUAAUGUUAAUAAAAAUGUUGAAAAAAUGAAAAAUAAUUUUAAUAACGAAAGUAGUAACGAACAUAAAAAAACCAAGAAGCUUCAUUUAAAUGAUGACACGUAUCCAAAUAAAUAUAAUAAUGGUAGUAGCAGUAGUAGUGGUAGUAGCAGUAGUAGUGGUAGUAAUAGUAGUAGUGGUAGUAAUAGUAGUAGUGGUAGGGGCAGUACUAGCAGUACCAGUAUUGGGAGUAGUAGUAGUAGUAGUAGCAACACUAGUAGUAAUAACAAAACCAGUAUAAGUAUUUUUGAAAACAGAAACAAUACGAAUAAACAUAUUAAUAGUUAUAUUGAUCUAGAAUUAAUUAAAAAUAGAAUUAAAAUAUUAAAAUGUUUGUUAAUAUUAUUAAGUUCAUAUAUAUAUUAUGAUAAUAAUAAUUAUUUAAAAAAAAAAAUCUUUUUUUGUAUCUUUUUACAAGUGGUAAUAUUUAUUUUACAGCAAAUUUUUGUUUAUCAUUAUUAA
ensembl:lncRNA